UUAAAAAGCUCGUAGUUGGAUUUCGGAACGGGCCAGUUGGUCCGCCGCAAGGUGAGUUACUGACUGGUCUSUUCUUCUUCGCAAAGACUGCGUGUGCUCUUCAUUGAGUGGGCGUAGGAUUUACGACGUUUACUUUGAAAAAAUUAGAGUGUUCAAAGCAGGCAAUCGCUUGAAUACAUGAGCAUGGAAUAAUGGAAUAGGACUUUGGUCCUAUUUUGUUGGUUUCUAGGACCGAAGUAAUGAUUAAGAGGGACAAUUGGGGGCAUCCGUAUUUCGUUGUCAGAGGUGAAAUUCUUGGAUUUACGAAAGACGAACAACUGCGAAAGCACUUGCCAAGAGUGUUUUCAUUAAUCAAGAACGAAAGUUAGAGGAUCGAAGACGAUCAGAUACCGUCCUAGUUCUAACCAUAAACGAUGUCGACUAGGGAUCAGCGGGCGUUAUGAACGACCUCGUUGGCACCUUACGGGAAACCAAAGUUUUUGGAUUCCGGGGGAAGUAUGGUUGCAAAGCUGAAAC
rnacentral:rRNA from 1 species